UACGUAGGGUGCGAGCGUUAAUCGGAAUUACUGGGCGUAAAGCGUGCGCAGGCGGUUUUGUAAGCCAGAUGUGAAAUCCCCGGGCUUAACCUGGGAAUGGCAUUUGGGACUGCAAGGCUCGAGUGCGGCAGAGGAGACUGGAAUUCCUGGUGUAGCAGUGAAAUGCGUAGAUAUCAGGAGGAACACCGAUGGCGAAGGCAGGUCUCUGGGCUGACACUGACGCUCAUGCACGAAAGCGUGGGGAGCAAACCGGGA
rnacentral:rRNA from 1 species